rnacentral:lncRNA from 1 species
GUGACGUGCCCACUGGCCUCUGCAGCCUGACUCUGGGCCUCUGGCACCACGGUGAGUCUGGGCCCAGGCGGGGUUGGCCCCACCACCAAGAGCCUCUUCAGGAGGCACCAUUCUCAGCUUCCAGUGUGACAGGUCCUCGGGCUGUAGGCGGUGACUGUGGUUGAGAUGAGGCCCAGGGCUUUCUGCCCCCAUCCCUGGGAUAUGCGGCUCCAAAGUGGAGUUGGCUUUUCUGUGGUCCCUCUGCCAAGGAACACAAAGGGCAGGCCUGGAUUCCAGCCACUUGAGCUGAGGACGUGAACGUGGAUGGGGGGACACACGCUGUCCUCAGUCCCUGUGCUUUCUCUCCCUCUUCUGAUGAGGGUUUGGAGCCAGAGCCCUGGGCUCUGGGAGUCUGGGGUGGAGGUGGCAGGAUUCUACCACUUCUCAGUGUGCCUCAGGCUUGUCUCCCAUAGAGGUCCACUGGGGGAGGAUCAUGGGCUCUCAGGACCUCAGCUUCCCUCCUCCCCACAGGCAUGUCCGCUGGCCUUCUGGGCACCAACAACAAUAAAGCAGGCAAUGAUCUGAUGCUGCUGGAUGGCUCUGUGGCCCAGAGCCUGGAGGAGCUCAGCCUGGCCUGGCAGGUGGAUGGUGACAGUAGGGCCACCAAGAAGACUCAGUCGACCUGCCCAGGACAGAGCCCCACCUGCUGGGCCUUCUUCCAGGACCCCCGUUCCAGCUUGGGGAACUGCUUCCGGGUGGUGAGUGUGAGCCUGGCCCCUGGGGCACAGAAAGCCCUUUCCCCAGUCUCUGAGUCAGGGAGCCAGGUGAUCAGGCCCGGCUGGUCCCACCCCCACAAAAAAACAAACAAACAAAAAAAACAGCAAUUGGAAACACUCUGGGUUGAGAGUUUCACAGCAAGCACAGCUGAACCUGGGAUGGUCCAGCUCUGUGGGGGAGGGGUGUCCACCAUUACCGCUAUUACUGAGGCACUCCACCACUACAGAGGCAGCCUGCCAUUGCCGAGGCAACCCGUCAUUACAGAGAGAAUCCGUCAUUACAGAGGCAGGUUGCCAUUACUGAGGCAGUUCUAACUACACCCAUAUAAACAGGACUGCAGGGAAGUUCACAUGGCAGCCGGGCAGAGCCCACAGCAGCUGAGCGAAGCCUCUGCAGGCAGUGACUAGGCUGCCUCCUUGCUGGGCAGGGCAGCCCUGAAAAAAAAAGGCAGCAGCACAGUAGAAACUCACUCAUAAAUAAAGCCCUAACUAACUCCCUGGGACAGAACACCAGGGAAAAAAAAGAGGUUUAUGAGUUCUGCUGCAGCAGACUUAAACGUACCUGCCCAGCAGCUCCGAAUGAACAACAGAGCUCACAGCUCAGCACUUGAGCUCCUAUAAAGGACAGACUGUCUCCUCAAGCAGCUCCCUGACCCCC